rnacentral:rRNA from 1 species
GACGAACGCUGGCGGCGUGCUUAACACAUGCAAGUCGAACGGAAAGGCCCUGCUUUUGUGGGGUGCUCGAGUGGCGAACGGGUGAGUAACACGUGAGUAACCUGCCCUUGACUUUGGGAUAACUUCAGGAAACUGGGGCUAAUACCGGAUAGGAGCUCCUGCUGCAUGGUGGGGGGUGGAAAGUUUCGGCGGUUGGGGAUGGACUCGCGGCUUAUCAGCUUGUUGGUGGGGUAGUGGCUUACCAAGGCUUUGACGGGUAGCCGGCCUGAGAGGGUGACCGGCCACAUUGGGACUGAGAGACAGCCCAGACUCCUACGGGAGGCAGCAGUGGGGAAUAUUGCACAAUGGGCGGAAGCCUGAUGCAGCAACGCCGCGUGCGGGAUGACGGCCUUCGGGUUGUAAACCGCUUUCGCCUGUGACGAAGCGUGAGUGACGGUAAUGGGUAAAGAAGCACCGGCUAACUACGUG